AUUUGAAGUUUCUAGAAAAUAAUUUUUGCGAUUUUUUGAUAUCAUUUACCUAGUGAUGGAAAGGAUUCAAAAUCUAUAAUUUUUAAUUGUUGAUAUCUGCCGUUUUCAAGUUUAACGGUGUAGAAGUAUUCAAAUCAGAUGAAAUUUCGAUAGAAAAUUCUUUAUACUAUCUACAACAAGAUCUAUAUUUCUGAUCGAAAAUUUUAGUGCUAUAUCACCACUUUUUAUAGGAUUUUUAUUUUCAGCCGUUAAAAAUUAUUGAUUUUGAAUCAUUUCGAUUGCUAGGUAAAUGAUAUCGAACAAUCGCAAAAAUUAUUUUCUAAAAACUUUAAAUACGCUAGAUCAAGUUUAACGAAGCCGAUCGUCGAUUCGAAAACUCCAUCAUCGAAAACGGCUCAGGAGCACGGAGGCCUCCAUGCUCCUGAGAGCACAGCAGCCCUGCUAUAUAUAUAUAUUCUAUACUAUAUAUAAAAGCAAAACUAAAUUAUUAAUUAAAUAUAAUUUUAUAUUUUUGAAUUUUUUAGUAAAAUAUUCAAAAGUAAUACCCGCCAAAAUAUUUUACGUAUUUUUCAAAUACAGAGCAUAUCUUAAUACACUCGCAUAUAAUAUCUACAUAUCUUUGCAUAUAAUAUCUACACUAUCCAAUUUUCUUAUCAUAAUAUUUAUUCACAGAAUAUAUAUUUUUUGAGACAUAUUUUUAGUAAUAUCUUUUUUAUUUUUACCUAUAUUUUUAUCAAAUAUAUUUUUUUAGUAAUAUCCUUUCUUAUAUGUCCCUAUUGCUAGCACAAGUAUAUAGUAGCAUAUCGUCAUCGUCGACA
rnacentral:lncRNA from 1 species